rnacentral:rRNA from 1 species
AGCAGCCGCGGUAAUUCCAGCUCCAAUAGCGUAUAUUAAAGUUGUUGCAGUUAAAAAGCUCGUAGUUGAAUUUCGGGACCAAUUUGUUGGUCGUGCCUCGGUACGUACUGGUAUUAUUGGUUUCUCCCUUCUGAAGAACCAUGAUGCCAUUAAUUUGGUGUCGUGGGGAAUCAGGACUGUUACUUUGAAAAAAUUAGAGUGUUUAAAGCAGGCAUACGCUUGAAUACAUUAGCAUGGAAUAAUGAAAUAGGACGUUUGAUUCUAUUUUGUUGGUUUCUAGGAUCGACGUAAUGAUUAAUAGGGAUAGUUGGGGGCAUUAGUAUUCAAUUGUCAGAGGUGAAAUUCUUGGAUUUAUUGAAGACUAACUACUGCGAAAGCAUUUGCCAAGGAUGUUUUCAUUAAUCAAGAACGAAAGUUAGGGGAUCGAAGACGAUCAGAUACCGUCGUAGUCUUAACCAUAAACUAUGCCGACUAGGGAUCGGAUGAUGUUAAUUUUUAAUGACUCAUUCGGCGCCUUACG